UAAAGGUGUGUACCAACAUGCCUGGAUCUGGGGCUUGCUUUGUCCCAGGCUGAUGUUGAACUCAGAAAUCAAGGAAUAUAUUACUUCGCCAGGGCCGAAGCUUUUCACAGCCACUAUGCCUCAAGAUCUCCAUGCCAAGAUCCAGGAAGCCCCUUCCCUGCCAUAUUUGGUCUUAUCUUUCCUGUAAGAUACCAGUGAAGUCCAGCAUGACAUGGACACUGUUCAAACAGCAGCAGCUCAAACUGUGUCUUGGGCCUAGUGGAUACUCACUAUACAAUUCCUAAUUCAACAAGGUGAGACAAAAUAAAUGCCUCAAAGAGAUAA